ACUCGGAAACCUUUGUCCCAAGCUCUUUGUGUCUGAACUGUCUGGCGGUAACUAUGACAAAUUGACAAUGUCCUGUUGAAUAUUCAAUGAAUAUUAAAUUGGACAUUGUCAUGCAUAGUUAUACUGGCCGACAGUUUAGACACAAAGAGCUUGGGAUAAAGGUUUCCGGGU